UCGAGGGGCAGCAUAAUGGAUAGCAAUAUCUAUGGUGGCGACCGGCGCACGGGUGCGUAACGCGUAUGCAACCUACCUUUAACAGGGGGAUAACACUGAGAAAUUGGUACUAAUACCCCAUAACAUCAGGACCGGCAUCGGUUCUGGUUGAAAACUCCGGUGGUUAUGGAUGGACCCGCGUUGGAUUAGCUAGUUGGUGAGGUAACGGCUCACCAAGGCGACGAUACAUAGGGGGACUGAGAGGUUAACCCCCACACUGGUACUGAGACACGGACCAGACUCC
rnacentral:rRNA from 1 species